AAAGGUAUAAUAACUAAAGUCAUAUAGUAAGUUUGCAUUAAAUUAUUUUUUGGACGUGCAACCAAAAGUAUGAGCAUAAUCUACCCACAAAUUAAAAUAUGUAACGGUAUAAUAACUUAAGCAUUAGUAAGUUCCAAUUAACUUAUUUUGGACAAAUGACGAACAGAACGUGCAUGACCUACCCCCAAAUUAAAAUGCUUAGAAUUGCUUCCACAAGCAUGCCUUCGUAAAGUCAUAGUAAGGGCAGGACUUAGAAACAUCAUGUUGAACUUUUGCGUCACCCUGUAUGAACACUUCUCCAAGUUGACGUCACAUAAAUAAUUCAAAGAACUUAAAACCAGACAUAAAUCGGUUUUAUUUCAUUCA